GUCAACCAAUCAGAGAAACGAAGUGUCUAUACCCACACUCAUAUUUCUGGGCGCUUUGCCUCCGUCAUCGCUCAUUUCAGCUCAGUAUUCCGAGAUACUACUGUAAAUUCACUAUCUGGCAACACUGUUUAGCUCGCAAAACAGUGUCAGGGUAUUGGAGAAGACAAGAAGUGCUUCGGUUGCGCGGGUAGAACCUGGAUCGUUGAGUUUGCAGAGCGAACGAGGAGAAAAAUGGCGAUGGCAACAACUCAAGUUAAGGGAAGUGGAUGGCCGAGGAGAGCAAGUAACAGUUCGUUUGAAGGGAAAGUGCUACAGAACCAGUCUAGUUAAUGUUUUGACUGCCUCUCCUGUAGAACACAACUAUGGCCGGUUAAGAGACGCUAGCAAUUAAAAUUAUGUUCCUAACACCUUUCAAUGCAUCUUACAUGGUACAACCAUGAGACGGCUGUUCACCUUUUUGUUAAGUAACUAUGGAAAUUUUAAGCAGCGGUCGACUUGAUUAUAUCCAAUGCUAAUUCAAUUUAACGAUUUACCUUCACGCGCCAUAACACGACAUAACCAACUGUUUUAUUAUAUUAAAAAUUUUGAUUAGUAUGUGUGCUUAUAUUUUCGUAUCAUUAUUUUUUAAAUAUCGCAAUACCAUUUAUUGAACGAGAACUAUUAACGUUUGCUUAAAAUUUCCAAAAAUAGAUUAAAAUUAUACCCUCUGUGCUCCAUUUACAUGGGGUAUAUUAUAUUUGAACUAUACUAAGUUCUGAUUACUAAGAAACUGAAGAAAAUUUCAUUUCUAUUAUAACAUUACAUUUUUUUGUACGUACCCAUUACUAAUGAAUUUAUAAAAGUAGUAGCCAUUGUGUACCAGGUACAUUGGCCUCUUUUAUACAUUAAAUGUAUAUUUGCGUACAAAAUACUUUUUGUUAUUUCUCAUGAUCAUCGUGAUAGAUGUUAAACAGUGACUGUUAUUUUGUAAUGCGUACCUGAAUUGUCACUGUUCAUUACUUUUACUUCUGUAAUAUAAAUUACUUUGAUGCCCUGUGUAAAAGAAAAAAUGUACAAAAUAAUGAUCCAAAUCAUAUUGUUGCGUUCUAAGAAUUAUGCAACCUGUAAUUCUUCCAAUGAAACCUGUCUGUAUUUUUUUUAUUCAUAAAUUGGCUACAUGCAGUUUAUGUAAAGUGAAACUUCCAUUAUAAAAUACUUUGUACUUACGCUAUUAUGAAUGUAUUUGUUUCAUUCCAUGAUUAUGUCUGUUUCUUAAUCUAAGAAAUCAUAUAAUGCACAUAAAUGUUUGAGAAUGUUUUAAACUUCUUAUGAAAUGAAAGUUUGUUGUU